CACGUAAAAACGACGAAUCACAGAAUUCAACUUUAUAUAUAACUAAUAUAGUACAAAGGUGUAUAUUAAAAAUUACACCACUCCAGACCCUUUUGUUUUCCACGUAAUUAAUAUUGCCAAUAAUGAAGAAGUUCCGGGUUGAGUCCGCUACCAAUACCAAUAGUAUAUUCACCUGUUACCUAUUACCUUAUCUGUACGUUCCGCAUCUGACAGGCGCACCAUCAAACAUUGUAUUCAGGAUUAAUAUGCUAUAUACAUGGGUCAUUACCACAGGGUUGACACUACUAAAUUGUCAAAUUGUUACCUAUUGUCGUAUUUUAAUCAGUUAGACUUUCUAAGAUAACAAUAUGAAUACUAAAAAUCUGGACUAAAAAUAAGGC
rnacentral:lncRNA from 1 species